rnacentral:rRNA from 1 species
GUCCACGCUGUAAACGAUGAGAACUAGAUGUUGGGGGGUAUAACCACUCAGUGUCGCAGCUAACGCGUUAAGUUCUCCGCCUGGGGAGUACGGCCGCAAGGUUGAAACUCAAAGGAAUUGACGGGGACCCCGCACAAGCGGUGGAGCAUGUGGUUUAAUUCGAUGCAACGCGAAGAACCUUACCUGGUCUUGACAUCCUCGGAACUUGUCAGAGAUGACUUGGUGCCUUCGGGAACCGAGAGACAGGUGCUGCAUGGCUGUCGU